AAAAGAUUUAAGGCUAUACACUUUGACUUGAACUCAAAGGCAGGACGUUCGACUCGUCCAUCUUUUU
rnacentral:tRNA from 1 species